GACAGAGGGGGCAAGCGUUGCUCGGAAUCACUGGGCGUAAAGGGCGCGUAGGCGGGAUGGCAAGUCAGUCGUGAAAUCUCUCGGCUCAACCGAGAAACGUCGGCUGAUACUGCCGUUCUUGAGGGAUGCAGAGGAGACUGGAAUUCCCGGUGUAGCGGUGAAAUGUGUAGAGAUCGGGAGGAACGCCGGUGGCGAAGGCGGGUCUCUGGGCAUUUCCUGACGCUGAGGCGCGAAAGCGUGGGGAGCAAACGGG
rnacentral:rRNA from 1 species